GGGGCCAUAGCUCAGUGGGAGAGUAUUCGACUCCAGUUCUCAAGGCUUGAGUCAUCGAAGUGUCGCAGGUUCAACCCCUGCUGGCCUCA